AGCAGCCGCGGUAAUUCCAGCUCCAAUAGCGUAUAUUAAAGUUGUUGCAGUUAAAAAGCUCGUAGUUGAAUUUCGGGAUCAAUUAGUCGGUCGUGCCUCUGGUACGUACUGGUAUUAUCGAUUCCUACCUUCUGAAGAACUUCGAUGUCAUUAAUUUGGUGUCUUGGGAAAUCAGGACUGUUACUUUGAAAAAAUUAGAGUGUUUAAAGCGGGCUAACGCUUGAAUACAUUAGCAUGGAAUAAUGAAAUAGGACGUUUGAUCCUAUUUUGUUGGUUUCUAGGAUCGACGUAAUGAUUAAUAGGGAUAGUUGGGGGCAUUAGUAUUCAAUUGUCAGAGGUGAAAUUCUUGGAUUUAUUGAAGACUAACUACUGCGAAAGCAUUUUGCCAAGGAUGUUUUCAUUAAUCAAGAACGAAAGUUAGGGGAUCGAAGACGAUCAGAUACCGUCGUAGUCUUAACCAUAAACUAUGCCGACUAGGGAUCGGAUGAUGUUAAUUUUUUCAAUGACUCAUUCGGCGCCU
rnacentral:misc_RNA from 1 species